UUGAUUUGGUGAUGAUGAUCUGGGUC
rnacentral:piRNA from 1 species